AUUGAACGCUGGCGGCAGGCCUAACACAUGCAAGUCGAGCGGAUGAAGGGAGCUUGCUCCUGGAUUCAGCGGCGGACGGGUGAGUAAUGCCUAGGAAUCUGCCUGGUAGUGGGGGAUAACGUCCGGAAACGGGCGCUAAUACCGCAUACGUCCUGAGGGAGAAAGUGGGGGAUCUUCGGACCUCACGCUAUCAGAUGAGCCUAGGUCGGAUUAGCUAGUUGGUGGGGUAACGGCCUACCAAGGCGACGAUCCGUAACUGGUCUGAGAGGAUGAUCAGUCACACUGGAACUGAGACACGGUCCAGACUCCUACGGGAGGCAGCAGUGGGGAAUAUUGGACAAUGGGCGAAAGCCUGAUCCAGCCAUGCCGCGUGUGUGAAGAAGGUCUUCGGAUUGUAAAGCACUUUAAGUUGGGAGGAAGGGCAGUAAGAUAAUACCUGGCUGUUUUGACGUUACCAACAGAAUAAGCACCGGCUAACUUCGUG
rnacentral:rRNA from 1 species